GUGUGUUUGUGUUAACCUAUAGGUAUUAUUACAACUUUACCAUAUAGUAUUUCAUUUGUAUUCAUACACUGCAAUGGAAAGAGUUAAUUGAAUAUACCAGCCUAUAAAUACAACUAAAUACAGACAUUUCUUUAGUUUCUUUCAAAACAAGUCAUCUUUUUCUAUAUUUGUUAUGUUACCACGCUAAAACCAUUGCUAUUGGCUGUCUCCCCACGUUGCUUUGAACAUGAUUGGAUAAUCUGCCUGUCACUCAGAGAACUGGCCAAUGAGAACUGUCCGCGCCUCGGAUUUGAAAUUACGUCUGUUUGAGCGGGAAGCCGCAGCGGGGCAGGCGCUACUCGGCAGGUCUGCUAGUGUCUGCUGUUGACCUACCUGCAUUAUUACCUGAAGUAUUUUACAUAUGCCUGCGAUUUUAACUUGUGGGAUGUCAACGGAGAAAGAAAGACUGGGACACAGAGGAAGGAUCAUACGGGAUGUGGUGACCAGCAAAGUUACGUGAAUUGAUAUCCUGCAAAAUUAUUGAAGAUAUCAGCACUGGACCCUGAGCAGUGCAUGGCCUGCAAGAUCAUGAGAAGGCUGAAGAACCAGGAGUGACAAGAUACCACUGGAUGGUGGGGCACAUAAUUCCACUCAGGGACAGUGAUCUGAAAAUGUCUGUUUACCAACGGUCCCCAUCCAACCUGAC